rnacentral:rRNA from 1 species
AGUGAACGCUGGCGGUAGGCCUAACACAUGCAAGUCGAACGGCAGCACAGUAAGAGCUUGCUCUUACGGGUGGCGAGUGGCGGACGGGUGAGGAAUACAUCGGAAUCUACUUUUUCGUGGGGGAUAACGUAGGGAAACUUACGCUAAUACCGCAUACGACCUACGGGUGAAAGCAGGGGAUCUUCGGACCUUGCGCGAUUGAAUGAGCCGAUGUCGGAUUAGCUAGUUGGCGGGGUAAAGGCCCACCAAGGCGACGAUCCGUAGCUGGUCUGAGAGGAUGGUCAGCCACAAGGGAACUGGGACACGGUCCAGACUCCUACGGGAGGCAGCAGUGGGGAAUAUUGGACAAUGGGCGCAAGCCUGAUCCAGCCAUACCGCGUGGGUGGAGAAAGCCUUCGGGUUGUAAAGCCCUUUUGUUGGGAAAGAAAAGCAGCAGGUUAAUACCCCGCUGUUCUGACGGUACCCAAAGAAUAAGCACCGGCUAACUUCGUG